rnacentral:lncRNA from 1 species
AAUGCAUGAUAAAACACUGGAAUUGGUAUGAUGAUCGAUUGUGUUUCCUUAAAGCAUGUAUUGCUUAUUUUAUGUAAUUACAGUUAAAUUGGAAAUUAAAGGUAAAUGGAAAAUUAUUUGAUUAAGUAAGUGGAUGAACGGUAGCCUUACUGGAUAUCCUGCGAGAUGGUAGACGAAACGGGUACAUAGGAAACCCUACCAUGAAU